ensembl:lncRNA FAM157C family with sequence similarity 157 member C
AUACCGGGUCUCACACUGUCACCCAGGCUGGAGUACAGUGGCACAACCUCUGCUCACUGCAGCCUCCACCUGCCAGGCUCAAGCAAUUCUCCUGCCUCAGCCUCCCGAGUAGCUGGGAUUACAGGAAGUGCGCUCACAAUGACUCAAGCUGCCACAUACUGUUGAUUGUGAAAUGCCAGUUGAAGCAUAUGUCCUGCAAGCUUAGGGGUGCUACAAGUUGACCACUGCAGCAGUAAAGAUGACUCUGAAGAAUGGCGUGGGAUGGUUCCUUUCAAAUGCACUUGAGCAGCGGUCUCCAACCACAGGGCCACAGAGCUGGAGCUGGAUCUACCAUGAAAGACUUGUGAAUCCAGGAAGAGAGACUGACUGGGCAACAUGUUAUUCAGAAUCUCCCUGUGCCAUCCAGGCUGGAGUGCAGUGAUGUGAUCAUAGCUCACUAUAGCUUUGGCCUUCUGAGAUCAAGCAAUCCUCCCAUCUCAACCUCCCAAGUAGCUAGGACUACACAUGCAUGUCACCCAUGCCCAGAUCAUUUUUGUAGAGUCAGAGUUUCACCGUGGUGGCCAGGUUGGCCAUGUUGGCCAGAUGGGGUCUUCUUUUGUUGCCCAGGCUGGCCACAAAUUCCUGGGCUCAACUGAUCCUCCCACCUCGUCCUUGUAGAGAUGAGAUUUAGUUAUGUCGUCCAGGCUGAUCUCAAACUCCUGGGCUAAAUCGAUUGUCUCACCUCAGCCUCUCAAGUAUGUUAUGAAGGUUAUAUGUUAGGAAGGGUCCCAGGAGGUAGACCCACACAGAUGGGAUUUGGGCAUAGGUUUGGUUUCCCAGGGGGCAGUGCUGAGCUCUUUGCCAGUGGGAAAUGGGAUGCGGGUGAUUUCCAGUAGGUGACCUCACAGUGACUCAAGCUACCACUUACUGUUGAUUGUGACGAAAUGCCAGCUGAGGCACAUGCCUUGGGAGCUAAGUGGUUGCUGCCCUGGACCACUGUGAAGACUGGUGUGGGAAGGGUCGCUUUGGAUGCACUUGAGCAGGGGUCCCCAACCCCUGAGCCAUGGAGCCGCAAGGAGCCACACAGCAGGAGGUGGGACCAUCCAGUUGCAGGAAAACAAGCUUAACACGCCCACUGAUUCUACAUUAUGCUCCUACCUCCCGGCAGCCUCUCCAGGCCCCGAACUUUCUCUAGUCAGCCUCUACAGACCAAGCUCAUGACUCUCAAUGGCCUAUUUAGGCCCAUACCCUAUCACGGCAGCCUCCGCAGAUGAGGCUACUGCCUCACAACAGCCUCCACAGGCACAGCUCCAUCGUUACAAUGGCCUCUUUAGACCCAGCUCCUGCCUCCCAGCCUUCUCUCCAGGCUCUGAACUUUCUCAGGUCUCCCUCUGUUGUCCAAGGCUGGAGUGUAGUAGUGCUAUCGCAGCUGACUGCAGCCUCAACCUUCCAGGCUGAAGCGAUCCUCCCACCUCAACCUCCCACGUGGCUGAGACUACAGGUGCUUGCCACUAUGCCCAACUAACAUUUGGAAUUUUCGUAUACGUGGAUUCCAGAGGGGUGACAGCGAAACGUGACUGCAGGACAAGUUCGAGCAUCUUAAAAUGAUUCAACAGGAGGAGAUAAGGAAGCUCGAGGAAGAGAAAAAACAACUGGAAGGAGAAAUCAUAGAUUUUUAUAAAAUGAAAGCUUCCUCUGAAGCACUGCAGACUCAGCUGAGCACCGAUACAAAGAAAGACAAACAUCGUAAGAAGCAAUAGUUUCUCUUACUAUUCUGAGAGCCUUAUCAUUCUACAUCCCAUCUUCCUGUGAGAUUGUCUUUGUAGCAUUUAACUCUAAUUGCAGUUCUCUUUUUAAAAAUUGGCUUGCUUAUUGUAUAUUUUCCCCAACUAAAGCGUGAACUCCUAGCAGGGCGUGAUGGCUCAUGCCUGUAAUCUCAGCACUGUGGGAGGCCGAGGUGGGUCGACUACCUGAGGUUAGGAGUUCGAGACCAGCCUGACCAACAUGAUGAAACGCUGUCUCUACUAAAAAUACAAAAAUUAGCUAGGCGUGGUGGCUGGGACCUGUAAUCCCAGCUACUUGGGAGGCUGAGGCAGGAGAAUCACUUGAACCCUGGAGGUGGAGGUUGCAGUGAGCAGAGAUCUCACCAUUACACUCCAGCCUGGGUGACAAGAGCAAAACUGCAUCUCAAAAAAAAAAAAAAAA